CCCCGCUGGAGGGUUCUCUGGGGGCCCUCUGGAAGGUUCUCUGGGGGCCCUCUGGAAGGUUCUCUGGGGGCCCCUCUGUAGAGUUCUCUGGGGGCCCUCUGUAGAGUUCUCUGUAGGGUUCUUUGGGGGCCCUCUGUAGGGGUCUCUGUAGGGUUCUCUGGGGCCCCUCUGUAGGGGUCUCUGUAGGGUUCUCUGGGGCCCCUCUGUAGGGGUCUCUGUAGGGUUCUCUGGGGGCCCCUCUAUGAGGCUCUCUGUGGGGCCCCUCUGUGGGGGCCCUUCCGUCCCCUCGCACGUUUAGCUUCCUUAGAGAUGACGCUGAUAUUAGGCCACUUUAGAAUCAUAACAACAAAAAAGAAAAUGAACGACAAGAGUAUAAUACUAAUGAGGUGUCAUACUAGUUUCUAUGAAAUGAUGUGUGAUGUGCAUCAUUGCACCUAACACUCCGCAGAUCGGUAGUUCUUCCCACUCGGACUCCACCAGAACAUGUAGAAAUGAAGUGUGUGUGUGUGUGUGUGUGUGUGUGUGUGUGUGUGGGGGGUUUUGCAUUGGUAAUCCAUCUGCAGAAGAUCUACAAGUGUUGUGUAGAUAGACGUGUGCGUCUUUUUGUUCUGCGACACUACUGCUUUCAAUAGCGGCGUUUAGGGAAGCGAUCUUUUUCUCAGCAAUGGCGGUUACGAAAUGUUCCGGGUGCAAUAAGAUCCAUUCUUCUGUGCAUGUCCUCUUUAAGACGUGCCACGUUAAUGCUUUUAAUGAACUGGGAUUGAUUUGGGUGUCCCUCGCCCUUCCCUUUAUUUAUUUGUCAUGGCAGGGAGAUAUCGUUUUACUUCUUUGACUUCUCUGUCUGAGCUUUUAAACGAUUGGCUGAGGAGUCAGAAACAUGGGUUCAUGGUCCUGUAGUUUUAUUCAAUUUAUUCUUUUCUUUUUUUGUCUCAUUUUUAACUGUGUGUGUGUGUGUGUAUAAUUAUAUAUAUAUAUAAAUCAAAACAAUAACCAUCAAUGCAUUUUCCAGCUUUGUACACAACAGCACUUUGACGAGGCCGUCUGUCGGUGUGUAGGUGAGAGGCCUUCAGGCUCUGUUGGGGGAUGGCAGGGGGAUUUGAUUCAUUUGUUUUAGGACUCUUCUUUUACCUAUCUAUUAUUCAAAGACCUCACACCACUGAUGUGUGCCGUCAGGGCACCGAUAUUGAUUGAUCGAGUCAUCUCAUUGUAUGCACUAACAUUGAUCAGGUAUUGGGAAGUAAAAAAAAAUCUAACCAUGUAGGUUUGGUGUUGUUUAACAAGGAGCUAUGUAAUACAAACUAUUUUAUUUAAAUAUAAGUUAUUGAAGAAACAGUGUUUUAUUACCAUUCAUGAGCUUGUUUCAUUAAGAUAGAAUAAUAAUAAAAAGUCAAAAUGUUCUGACGGUUUGAUCCCUGCUUAUAUUCCUUUUUAAUUCCCUUAGUGUUGCUAUUGUCUACCAUCAUGUAUGAUGUGAGUAUCAUGCAUUAAAGAAU
ensembl:lncRNA